GUGGAUUAGUUACCCUGGUAGUCCACGCCGUAAACGAUGUCAACUAGCCGUUGGGUUCCUUGAGAACUUAGUGGCGCAGCUAACGCGAUAAGUUGACCGCCUGGGGAGUACGGCCGCAAGGUUAAAACUCAAAUGAAUUGACGGGGGCCCGCACAAGCGGUGGAGCAUGUGGUUUAAUUCGAAGCAACGCGAAGAACCUUACCUGGCCUUGACAUGCUGAGAACUUUCCAGAGAUGGAUUGGUGCCUUCGGGAACUCAGACACAGGUGCUGCACGGCUGUCGUCAACU
rnacentral:rRNA from 1 species